rnacentral:lncRNA from 1 species
GGGGCUGGGCAGAGUCAGUGUGCUGAGAAAGGGCAUGUGACCUUGUGCCUCUGAGUGACAGCUGAGGGUUUGCACCAUGGAUGAUUCUGUUAUCCAUAUCUGGUAGGUGUAGAGCAGGGAGGAAGCUCAACACUCUCACAUAAAGGAUAAAGACGUAUCCUGCUGGCAGUGUCACGAAGCUAACUAAGGCUGAGAAACUCUAACUUAAGGAAUCAGAAGACGCAUCUGUCUUGUUCAAAUCCAGCACUCUGACUGAUGAGGUCUCCCUAACUCUUCCAGCCUUACUCAGCCUCUCUGCAUCAGCUUCCUGUAAACACGGACGCCCUCUAGAAGCUUCUGGAUUUUGCUACUUCAGAUCUUGGUGAAGUGUGAUCCCACCCAAUUCUGCUCAAUUGACUUAAGCUCCUGCCAGUACAGGUAUCAUUAACACCAUUCCACAUACCAGAAAGCCAAAGCUCAAAGGACUUACAACCAGGUGAAGGCAAAGCCAGAUCCAAAUGUAGGCCUGCCUGACUCUACGCUGGGUAUUUCUCCUCUAUUCCAGUUACUUUUGUGCCUUUAUGUUUAAAGACGGUAUUCACCCAAAGUUGGACAAUUGAGUAAACAUAUUCAGAUGACAGGAUCCAGGUUCCUCACUGUACACUUCAUACGGAGAGACUGAGUCCUGCAGCGUCACUUCGGAAUUUGGAUUAAAGAUGAUAGCAGCAUCUACCUCCUGGGAAAGUGUAAAGUCAAAAAUCACUCUGGUGGCAGGGGGACAUCAAGCAACAAGAUCUUGGUUCCAAAAGCUACUUCCCACUGAAAGGAAGCACUGACAAACAAGAUGGUUAGGGGUGACGUAAGCAAGCCUAAGUAAGACCUGGAAGAUGCUGGGAGGGACUCAGGCAAAACCUAGAACAAUGUCAGUAAGUUACUAAAUAAUAGUGUUGAUAGGUUACAAUCCAGUCAACAAAACAGGAACGUAUAAAUCCCCCCUGCUCUUUCACACACACACACACACACACACACACACACACACUCACUCUCUCUCUCUCUCUCUCUCUCUCUUAAACUAGUGGAUAAGAGAAAUCUUUGCCGUUACUACUAGCAACCCCAAUUGGUGAGUGAUAUAGUUAGAAAAUCAUCAAUGGAUGCCAAAACUCAUGGGUAAACUUUAGAUGGGAAGGGCAUAUUUACAUAAUCUUAAAAUAUCUUCCCACAAAUACAUAUUUAAGCACCAAGGUGGGGGAGAAUAACUCUGCUGUGGAGAAUCUGGGCAGACACAAUCUCAACCAAAUAGUCACAUUGGAUACCAUCAAUAUUAAGUGACACUCCAUCAUGCGUCUCAUAAUGGGACACUUAAUAUUAUUUUAGUGCCUCAGCUAAAUUUAAUCAGGAGGACAUAUUGGACAAAUGCAAUUAAAGGGAUACAUUGUGAAAAAAAAUUGAUCCUCAAGUUUAUUUAUUUAGUUUAAUUACUAUUUGUUUUUAAAGAGACAGGGUUUCACUAUGUAACCUUGGCUGGCCUAGAACUUCCUAUGCUGACCAGGCUGCCCUUGAACUUAAAGAGAUCCUCCUGCCUCUACUUGGAUUGCUAAGAUUAAAGGUGAUGUACUACCACAAGCUGGCCUGGUCCUCACGUUUAAAAAUAUGAUAAGAACAAGAAAGACAAAGACCUAGGGUGAAUUUAUGUCAUAACUGCAAGCUGUGCGUGAUUCUAGACCUGAGCCUGGAUUAGGUUUCAAACAACUAUAAAGGACGCCAUUAAGACAAAAAUGGAUGGAAUUUGAAUAUAAAUUAUUAACUAGCUAGUAAUAGUGAACUAAGUUUAAAUUCUCUGAUUCUGCUAAAGUCCUGGAGGUUAUAUAAUGGAAUGCCCUGGUUUUUAGGACAGUAGGAUUAAAUCAGUUAGCAGUAGAAAAGUAUUAUGUUCCUAACUUAUUUUCAAGCUUCUCAGAUAAUAGUUUCUCAUGUAUAACUAUCUAUCUGGCUACAUCUGUAUCUAGCACAUCUGUCUUCUACAUAUGUAUCUAUAUUGUGUCUGUCUAUAGAGGCAGCACAGGCAGCAGAAUGUAAUCGACAAGAAUGGGGUUAUAAAGAAGUCUUUAAAUGAUGCUCACAAACUUUCUGUAAGUUUGGAAUUAUGUCAAAAUACAAAGUUGCCCAACAAUGAUAGAAAAGAUGCCAGGAUAAUAUUCCCCCUGGGUCACCCAAGCUCCUGCUUAUCUCGUGAGCAAGGGCACUGGUAGCUUUUGGCCUAGACUAUUUUUUGAAGAAUGGCUGUAUAAUGAAGAAUACUGGAAGAUAGAGAUUAAAUUUCCUUCUGGAGCAAAAGGCAGGGUUUUUUUUGUUUUGUUUUGUUUUGUUUUGUUUUUGUUUUGUUUUGUUUUUGUUGAAUGAGUAAAAUGAUGUAAUGUCUCCCUCCGUGUAAAGGGUGGGCAUGUUUGGUUGCCUCUCAUUAUAAAAACGUAGAUUGCCCUGAGCUCAAGACUCCUCGGUUUUGAUGCACACCUAUUGUAUACACAGUAUCUACCUGGACCCCUAUGCAAUCCUCUUGUGAGACUUUGGGAGCAGAGGGACUGAUGUAAUGUCACACUUUGUGCAACCUGUGUGCCAAGAAUAAGAAUGUUCUUUGUUUCUAACCCAGGAGCUUUGUGUCUGCUGCCAGUAUCCCUGAUAAGAAUGGAUACAUUAGCUUGCAAGUAGGCGAAAGACUUGAAACUUCUUGUAGAAGCAGGACAGGUGAGACAAACAAUUGGUCUGGGGAAAUGGUUCAGCUGGUAAAGUGCUUGCCCCAUAAGUCGGAGGAUCUGAGUUCGAUCCCUAGAUGUCAUGUAAAGCCGAGUGCUUAUAAUAACAAUACUAUGCUGGGUGUGGCAGCACACAUCUUCAAUCCUAGCACUCCAUGGCAAAGGCAGGAGGAUCUCUGUGAGUUCAAGACCAACCUGGUCUACAUAGAGAGUCCCAGGCCAGCCAAGGCCACACAAUAAGACCCUGUCUCUAAAAAACAAACAACAAACUAGCAAACUUUGGGAUUUAUUAUACAUAAUUCCAGCUAGAGCUGGAGACAGGCAGAUCCCUCCUGGGGCUCACUGGCCAGCAAGCCUAGUGUAAUGGAUUGGUUCCGGGCCAGCAAGAGACCCUGUCUCAGAAACCAAGAUGGACAGUGUCUGAAGACUAACGUCUGAUUUGAUCAUUGGCCUACACACACACACACACACACACACACACACACACACACACACACACACACUCAACCAAUUUGACAAGCUGUGGCUACAUAUUUGUUGAGUUAACUUUUCCUGGUAGGAUCUGAACAAAUAUGAAUUCACCCAUAUUUACACCAGCGACAGACCAAGAAACUGAUUCCACCUGGGUCGCUUUUGUAAACCGGUGAGUCUGUUGGGCUUAAUUUAUAUCAGCAUAAGAGGCAGGUUACCUAGCAGGAGUGUGUGUGACCCCAAGCAAUUCCUAGGCUAAAAGUCUCACCCCAGCACAGGUGAUGGUCUAACAGGUUCACAGAUGGCUUCCCCCUCUUCAGUCCAGAGGGGAAAGGAGUUUAGUAAACAAUGGAAGGAGAACUGCUAACAAAGAGGAGGGAAAAACAAGGGUGGAAACAGACGCUUAACCAUCAACAAGAAGCAAAGGUCAGAACCGCUGGCGUCAAUGACAGUGACGCUUUCUGGGGGAUUUCCUGUUUAGUUCUUAGCAUGUGUGUUUCCAUAGGACAGAGACCCAAACAAAGUCACUCAACUGGGUGGAAAGCUAAUUGUGUCUAGAUUUGGGAUUCUUUGUGUGAUUUGGGAUUCUUUGUCUCUGGUAGCAGGUAACUGUGGUGGGAUCCGUGGUAGAGAACAAGUGGACUGUGCCUUUGAGUUGGUUCUACAAUAAACGAGCUUCUACUUUUAUUACUUUGUUAAUUUGUGCAUUUUUUGAAACAGUCUCACUUUGUAGUCCCAGAUGGCUUGGAACUCACAGAUUUCAGGCUGCCUUUGCCUCCUGAGUGUUGGGAUUAAAGGUGAGCACUUUUUAUUGCUAUAUUGUUUCAUUCUGUAGUCAAGGCUGGUCUAAACCUUAUUAUGAUCCUCUUGCUUCAUCCUCCAGAGCACUAGAAUUACAAGCCGGUGCCACCAUCCUUGGCCUGA